rnacentral:ribozyme from 1 species
AGAGAGAGAGAGAAAAGAGAUGUAGGAGAAAAGUCUGUUUCUUGUUUGUAUGUGCACAUUUGUCUUAUUUCCUUCACUCCCUUCUCAGUUAUGAGAUAUCUAUAAUAAUC